rnacentral:rRNA from 1 species
CCACAAGGGGUGAAGCUUGCGGUUUAAUCGGAGUCAACGCCGGAAAUCUCACCGGGAGCGACAGCAGAAUGAAGGCCAGAUUAAAGGUCUUGCCAGACAAGCUGAGAGGAGGUGCAUGGCCGUCGCCAGUUCGUGCCGUGAGGUGUCCUGUUAAGUCAGGCAACGAUCGAGACCCGCAUCCUCUGUUGCAACUAGCUUUGAGCUGGGCACACUGAGGAGACCGCCACUGAUAAAGUGGAGGAAGGAGCGGGCCACGGCAGGUCAGUAUGCCCCGAAUCUCCCGGGCCACACGCGAGCUGCAAUGGCAGGUACAAUGAGUUCCGACCUCGAAAGGGGAAGGCAAUCCCGAAAGCCUGCCGUAGUUGGGAUCGAGGGCUGUAACCCGUCCUCGUGAACAUGGAAUCCCUGGUAAUCGCGUGUCAUUAGCGCGCGGUGAAUACGUCCCUGCUCCUUGC